UGAGGAUCCGCAUCUGAGCCUGGUUGGGCAUCGCCCCGCUAGGCGUCAGCGGCUCCACCAGCUGUGGAGAGAGGCCUCCGCAUCGUGUACUUCCGGAUCUUCUGCCGCCUUCUCCUGAUUAGGAUGCCGAGGACUGCCCCCACGACCAUGACCAGCAGAAUGCCCACCACAGCAGCAAUGAUGGACGUCACAGGGCUGCAGACAGGGGCCAAGGUCAUGGUUUUCCACGCCUCCCAACCUCUGCACAUGCUGCUACUUCUGCCCGGACCACCCCUUCUCUGUGGGAUCACCCUUCAGACUCGGCCUGGAAUCGCUGGCACUCCUGGGCAUUGACUGUCCUCCUUGCCCCUCCCCUGCUUAGCCAGGGGCUGGCGCAUUGCAGACUCUAGUGAACGCUUGCUUCCUAGACAAAUGAUUGCCUAGGACAUACACCAAUCUUUUUCUCCCCAAAGCCCUUCCCCCAGCCCCCCACUGCCCAGAAGCCCAGUCCAACCCUGUGGCCUGCUGGUGAGGGAGGCCCAUGCCCUCCAGAUCCAGCCUGAGCCUGACUCAGACUCACCCUGCAUCCCUCCUCUGUGCUGACUAACAGAGCACCACGCCAGCACCUUCCAGGAAGCACAGCCUAGGUUUUUCCGACCCUUCCCCAGGAAGCCACUUAAGCUGCUUUCCCCCUAAGGCAAGUGACGUACCUGCCCCUCUUUCAAGGCCUGGCUCAAAUGCCACCUCCUCCUUGAAGCCUGCCUCCACCCCCUCCUCUCCCUCAGGGCUGCAGCUGCACCCUCUUCUCCAUCUGCCUGGAGUCCCAGGGUCCCUUACGAGACGUCUAGCUACUCGAGGGUGGGAGGUACUGGGAACCUGUGCCAUCUUUUCCUGUUCCCCAGGCCACAAGCAUCCUGAGCAGGUCCUCCAGCCACUUGUUGAAACGAAUUGGAAGGAGGACCCACAGUGGAAGAGUGGGCAGGAAAGGGACCUGUGUCAUGUCAGGAGGCGCCCCCCCUCUCCUUUGUUCAGCAGUGACCACCCAGGGGCCGGUGGGAGACGGGGGAGCAGCCAGGGGCAUGUCCUGGGGACCAC